rfam:TPA: Bos taurus chromosome 19, whole genome shotgun sequence.
UCCCUGGUGGUCCAGUGGUUAGGACUCUAUGCUUCCAAUGCAGAGGGCCCAGGUUUGAUCCCUGGUUGGGAAA